AAGUCGUAACAAGGUUUCCGUAGGUGAACCUGCGGAAGGAUCAUUAACAAAUCUGCUAUAUGGCGAGCCCGAGAGGGAUCGCACAUAUAUAUUUACCCCGAGCUGGUGUUGCACUUUUGUGCAAAGGCCAGCUUUGGUUGGGCAGGCCUACCCUUUACCGGGCAGGACUGUUCCGGACAGUGUUUGGAGGCCGCAAGGUUUUCGGACGCUGGCCACAUUGACGCUUGUAUGUUUGACAGAGUUACAGUUGUAAACUAAAAAGACAACUUUUAACAAUGGAUCUCUUGGCUCUU
rnacentral:misc_RNA from 1 species